rnacentral:rRNA from 1 species
GUUGAAGGAUUUGGAAAAUUCCGCUAAAGAGGGUGAAAGCCCCGUAGACGAAAUGCUAACAACACCUAGGAGGAUCCUGAGUACGGCGGAACACGAGAAAUUCCGUCGGAAUCCGCGGGGACCAUCCCGCAAGGCUAAAUACUCCCUAGUGACCGAUAGUGAACCAGUACCGUGAGGGAAAGGUGAAAAGCACCCCGGAAGGGGAGUGAAAUAGAUCCUGAAACCGUGUGCCUACAACAAGUCAAAGCUCGUUAAUGAGUGAUGGCGUGCCUUUUGUAGAAUGAACCGGCGAGUUACGAUUGCAUGCGAGGUUAAGUCGAAGAGACGGAGCCGCAGCGAAAGCGAGUCUGAAUAGGGCGAAUGAGUAUGUAGUCGUAGACCCGAAACCAUGUGAUCUACCCAUGUCCAGGUUGAAGGUGCGGUAAAACGCACUGGAGGACCGAACCCACGUACGUUGAAAAGUGCGGGGAUGAGGUGUGGGUAGCGGAGAAAUUCCAAACGAACUUGGAGAUAGCUGGUUCUCUCCGAAAUAGCUUUAGGGCUAGCCUCGGAAUUGAGAAUGAUGGAGGUAGAGCACUGUUUGGACUAGGGGCCCAUCUCGGGUUACCGAAUUCAGAUAAACUCCGAAUGCCAUUCAUUUAUAUCCGGGAGUCAGACUGCGAGUGAUAAGAUCCGUAGUCGAAAGGGAAACAGCCCAGACCACCAGCUAAGGUCCCAAAAUAUAUGUUAAGUGGAAAAGGAUGUGGGGUUGCACAGACAACUAGGAUGUUGGCUUAGAAGCAGCCACCAUUUAAAGAGUGCGUAAUAGCUCACUAGUCGAGUGACCCUGCGCCGAAAAUGUACCGGGGCUAAACAUAUUACCGAAGCUGUGGACUACACCAUUAGGUGUAGUGGUAGGAGAGCGUUCUAAGGGCGUUGAAGGUCGAUCGUGAGGACGGCUGGAGCGCUUAGAAGUGAGAAUGCCGGUAUGAGUAGCGAAAGACAGGUGAGAAUCCUGUCCACCGUAUGACUAAGGUUUCCUGGGGAAGGCUCGUCCGCCCAGGGUUAGUCGGGACCUAAGCCGAGGCCGAUAGGCGUAGGCGAUGGACAACAGGUUGAUAUUCCUGUACCAGUUGUUUUUGUUUGAACAAUGGAGGGACGCAGUAGGCUAAGGAAUGCAUGCGAUUGGAAGUGCAUGUCCAAGCAAUGAGUCUUGAGUAGAGUUAAAUGCUUUACUCUUUAAGGACAAGUUGUGACGGGGAGCGAAAUAAUAGUAGCGAAGUUCCUGAUGUCACACUGCCAAGAAAAGCUUCUAGUGAGAAAACAACUGCCCGUACCGUAAACCGACACAGGUAGUCGAGGAGAGUAUCCUAAGGUGAGCGAGCGAACUCUCGUUAAGGAACUCGGCAAAAUGACCCCGUAACUUCGGGAGAAGGGGUGCUGACUUCGGUCAGCCGCAGUGAAUAGGCCCAAGCGACUGUUUAUCAAAAACACAGGUCUCUGCAAAAUCGUAAGAUGAAGUAUAGGGGCUGACGCCUGCCCGGUGCUGGAAGGUUAAGAGGAUGGGUUAGCUUCGGCGAAGCUCAGAAUUGAAGCCCCAGUAAACGGCGGCCGUAACUAUAACGGUCCUAAGGUAGCGAAAUUCCUUGUCGGGUAAGUUCCGACCCGCACGAAAGGCGUAACGAUUUGGGCACUGUCUCAACGAGAGACUCGGUGAAAUUUUAGUACCUGUGAAGAUGCAGGUUACC